rnacentral:lncRNA from 1 species
GCACCAUGGUGGGAACGCCUCAGCUCAUUUUUAAAAGGUGUUUACUUGCUUUGUCCAAAUGUUCAUUUUAAAACCGAUUCACUAGAUGACUUUAAAUAAAGAGCCCCCUCUGUGCCCCUGAGACCCAGUUCUGAAGUUCCAUAUAAAUUCCAUGGUAUCUGAGGUAAGAGCUUGAGGGUCUGGAACCAGCCCUUCUAGAUUUAAAAUCUAGAGCUGCCGCAGUGACCUCGGGCAGUUCUGUAACCUUUCUAUGCUUCAGUUUCAUGUGUAAGGUGGAGAUAAUGUCAGCUCUUUCUCUAGGGCUGCUAUGAGGACGGAAUGACAUAAUAUUUGUACACUGGGCAGAAUAGUAAUUGGUAUAUGGUUUAUGACCUAUGAACAUAAGCUCUCAUUGUGAUCAUGUGAUGGGGUGAUUGUAACGUUCUUGUUUGGUGAUGGUUGUGCCUCGAACAUACAUGACUAGGAAUAACAUAUAGAGGCUCCCAGGCUAGGGGUCGAAUCAGAGCUGCAGCCACCUGCCUACACCACAGCCAUAGCAAUGCCAGAUCCAAGCCUCAUCUGCAACCUACACCACAGCUCAUGGCAAUGCCGGAUCCUUAACCCACUGAUUGAGGUCAGGGAUCAAACUUGCAUCCUCAUGGAUACUAGUCGGGUUCGUUACCACUGAGCCACGACGGGAGCUCCCUUGUAAUCUUUUGUAGCUCUGCAAAGCCAAUGAGCCUUGUAUUUAUUUUUUUCUGAAUUUUGUGUUUGUUUACCUCUCUUACUGACACCGGAUGCAUAUAUGUUGGUGGGUUUUUUGAGGGGGGGUUUUGGGUGUGAAGUUUCAUUCAUAUAUGUUGUUUUUAUAUUGUAGGGUAAACUGAUGACUUGCAGGCAUAAAUGAAGUGAGUUGAAUGCCAGAAGUGCUGUGCCUCCAAAAGUGGGAGGAGUCAGUAAAGUCCUGUGGGGGGGAGCAGGGGAGGGAGGAAGUUAUUACACACAUUAUAUCCUUGUGAAAUACGGAACUGGGAACUUUGCAUUUUAUGGGCUGUGGGUUGGGGGGGGCAUUUUGAAAAAGGAAAUAGAAUAACUCCAGAGUUAUGUGCCAAGGUAAGCGUCAUUACGGUCUGCAAAUGUUAGCUCUGUCAAAAGGGGGUGUGAUGUCUUACUACUAAUUUCUUUCUUAGGGGUAGGAUCCAUUUUAGGCGGAAAAUCUUCACAUUUAAGUUAGGGGGAAAAUAGCGUACUUGCAUGUGUGGUCCAUACACAUGCAAUUUUUUUUAAACCUGCGGUGUUUAAAGAGAGUCAUGGGUUAAAACAGGAAUGUCUCAAGAAUUUUAUUGUGAAAACAAACAAACAAAAAACAGGCAGCAAACCAUCCUGAUCUCUCAGUCAAUAUGUGUACCUUAUUGAGAAGAGGUCCACAUUUUUAUAGUGUAUUAAGCAAGCCUAUGUGUGGUAUGAAUACUCGUAUUGUAUUACUGACACAGUAGUGCGGAGUCACCUUGAGUUUUAAGCAGCUGACAUUUUCUAGGAUUGCAUUUAAAGGGAGCUCAGAAGCAUUAGCUAAACAUUUUGCAUAAAUAAUGGCCUCAUUACAGGCCUCACAAUUGAUGGCUAAACGUGGGCAGGAAAACAGUAUCACUCAUGUUGUACUCUGUUAGACUCGUAAAGGUUUUAAAACAAAACCCGGGUCACACUUGUUUCUGGUGCUGGUUAUUUUAUAAAGAUGAUAUCCCUAUAGCAAGUUAGAACCUGCCUCGUUCACAGGCACUGUCUCUGUAAAGAAAUGAUUCAUUCAUUUAUUCACCGUGUAUUUUUUAUACUACUGCACAGAGGAAGUAAAAGCUAACAGAAAGAGGUUAUGUUUUUCGUGGCCAAGGAGGGGAAAGGAGAAAUGCUCUGAAAUAAUAACUAAUACAAAGCAGAAUGGGGCGGGUUGUCCUCCCUGGGGUAGCUUCUAACACAGAAGGAAUGCAGAAGAAUGAUGCUGAGUAGGAUGAGGAGAAGAGACUUCGAGAAGGAGGGGCUGUUGGAGUUGAACCCUCAAGGCUGGUUAGCAUGUCUGUGGGAAGAGAUGGACAGAGUGGGAGGAUGACCACAAUAGCAAGCGUGCGGUAUGUCACUGUCAAGGCCAUUUUGAUGGAAGCCCAGGUGCUGAUGGAUUUCUGAGUUGCUGGAGCCUGGCAGACGGUAGAAAGUGUGGGAAUAAACUUGCUGAGGGGUCCGGUCUGGAGAUAAAUUUGGAGGAGCCAUUGGCAUAAAAGUGAUUGAGAUUGGGCUUUGGGUUCUUGUGCCUGGCAGCAAGUUUGACAGGCAGGCAGGGAUGGGUACCUAUCACGAUGACGUCAUCCCAGGUGGACUACGCAGCGAGAAGGUACGAGGCAGUAAGUAGGGCAGCAGAGAUGGGAGGCUGGUGUGUUACAUACAGCCUUUGUAUGUUUCCUGUUUAAGGGAGGGUGGUGGAGAAAUUGGGAUGAUGAAUGGGUGGAUAAUUGGGAUAAUUGGGGGGGGGGUCUUCUCUAGAUGCUCAGGCACCUUGGAAACUGAGGGCUGAACUUCAGCUCAGCGGAAUCUUGUUGACACCUAUAUUCUUUAAGACCUCAAACAAAAUGGAAACUUGAGCUAAUAUUAGCCAGAUCUAAUGUGUGUGUAUGAAAAUGAAUGCUGCUUUUGAAAUUCAGCACAUGCAGUAGUAUCUCCUUUCAUUUAAACAAAUGAUCCCUCUAUUUUCCUCUAAACAGUUUUAUUAAGAAGAUUUUCAGGGAAGCCCUGUACAUAGUAACAAUUUCCAGCCUUGCCUUUGAUCUUUUCCACCGUGCAUGUAUUCAUCUCUUGUGAUGUGCAUAAAUCCUGUUUGACUCUGGAGCAGUUGUUCAUUUGUGGCAAUUCAUUUACUUACUGUGAUAAAUCACAUUAACGUGGGUGUGGCUCCUACCUUUAUUGUGGACUCUUAAUGUGAUGAGUGUGUUUGUGCGUACAUGUGUUUGUAUUUCCUUCCAGCUUCUAGCCACAGCUUUCCAAACAAUUUAGCUUAUUUCUACUUAAUAGAAAAUACAGAAUUUUUUAGUGAGCCUUGGCUCUGGCGAGAAAGAUCCUAAGACUCCAUGGCUCAAAGUGAAGGGGAAGGCUGGAAAUUAUCAGUUAUUUUGCUGUCACUGGGGAGUCUUUCCUGAUGUAAUUAGAGACUAUUUGAGGAUUGUAUGAGGUUUUUGUUUUGUUUUGUUUUGCUUUUGAUUUGAGUUAUUUCGGACAGGAGUGAUGGGAAGGAGACAACAACUCCACAACUCCAGUGGUCAGACCAUGCUGCCUGCAGAUAUUUAAUGAGCAUCCAGCGUGGCCCUUACAGGAAAUGAUCAGUAGUCCAUACGUCUGGGUAUUAACUCUUUUCAUCCUCACUGCAGUCCUUUGCGGGCAGGCACUGCUCUUAUCUCCAUUUCACAGAUGAGGAAACGGAGGCACAGAGAGGGUGAGUAAUUUGCCCAAGACUGCCCAGCUAUUAAGUGGUAGAGUCACGCUGGACCCUAGCCUGUACUCUGUGCGCUGUCAAGACCUUAGCCCUGUCCCUAAGAAGCUUAUAGUCCAGUCCAGAAGGCAAGGCGUGCCCAGGAGUAGCAGUUAAAGACCCAUGGCAGAGGAGCAGUUAAAGACUCAUAACAGACAUUCUUAAGGGUCAGAAUCCGAGAAGGUUCACAGCAAUGAGCUUCCCUUUGCGCUGCUCGCCUGUCCCUUCGAAGUCACAUACGAGCUGUCUUUGCGGUGUUUACUCUCUUUCUUUCACUCUUCCUCAUACCUCCCUGAGAUCCCUAUGCACUUUCAAUAAUUAUUAAUUGAAGAAAAUGAUGACAGCGGCAUAUGCUUAUCUGAGUCUCCGGGGAUUGGCUUAAGUUGGGCUCCAAAUGUUUGGCAUCCAGAGGCCCAGUGAGGUGAUGAACUUUUGACUCUUGAAAGAGCUUCACUGGGUCAACACUCAGCUUGCAAGAUUUGGCCGAUAGGAACUCAUUCCUGUUUGAUAGGUGGUGGUGAUGGGGGUGGGGGUGGGUGGCGCUAAGUCCCAACGCCCAGGACAAAAUGUGCGGGGAAAGGAGGUCACCCUUCAGUCCUGGCAGCCCUCAAAGCUCAGAGCUGGGGUCCCCUCCGGUCCCCGCCCCUCCCAGCCUCAUUUUCUCACCUUCCCCGGACCCGUGGAUAAAUCUUCUCUCACUCAUGUCACAGAAUAGAGAGGAAAGACCAUUUUUCUCUUAGUCUGCCCAGGGGAAAGUAAGAGUUUGCCUUUCUUCCGUUGAAGGAGAACUACCAACGUAGCGUAUAGAAAUACAGAAUCGCUCUGUUGUGUCAAGUACACUGCCAUU